rnacentral:lncRNA from 1 species
GAGGAAGUGCACCUCAGUGGCUAGCUACGAUCUAUCAAACCACACAGCUGCAACAGACAUCCAAGUCGAGCUCAGCAUCAGGGUUACCUCAUCGAUCAACUGGUGGGAUAGAGGCCUAGUGCUCCCAAAAGGGAUCAGAUGUCAGCAUCGGGCUCGACAUCCAAGGUUGGAGAUCGGUUAAUUAAAACACAGUUAGUGAACAUGUGGAUGGGGAUGCAUGCAGAGGCUAGGGUCCAGUGCAUAGAUCAGC